UACGGAGGGUGCAAGCGUUGUUCGGAAUCACUGGGCGUAAAGGGCGUGUAGGCGGUCCGCUAAGUCUGAUGUGAAAGCCCGAGGCUUACCCUCGGAAGUGCAUUGGAGACUGGCGGACUGGAGUCCCGGAGAGGAGGGUGGAAUUCCUGGUGUAGCGGUGAAAUGCGCAGAUAUCAGGAAGAACACCUAUGGCGAAGGCAGCUCUCUGGGACGGUACUGACGCUGAGACGCGAAAGCGUGGGGAGCGAACAGG
rnacentral:rRNA from 1 species